CAGUCGACGCAGCAUCGGGGCUUGCCCUGAUGGCUGAGUGGCAAACGGGUGAGUAACACGUGGGAACUUACCUUUUAGACUGGGACAACCACUGGAAACGGUGGCUAAUACCGGAUACGCCCUGAGGGGGAAAGCAGAGAUGCGCUAAGAGAGAGGCCCGCGGCAGAUUAGGUAGUUGGUGGGGUAAAGGCCUACCAAGCCGAUGAUCUGUAGCUGGUUUGAGAGGAUGAUCGGCCACACUGGGACUGAGACACGGCCCAGACUCCUACGGGAGGCAGCAGUGGGGAAUAUUGGACAAUGGGGGAAACCCUGAUCCAGCAAUGCCGCGUGAAUGAAGAAGGCCCUAGGGUUGUAAAAUUCUUUUGUUCGUGAAGAUAAUGACGGUAGCGGACGAAUAAGCCCUGGCUAACUCUGUGCCAGCAGCCGCGGUAAUACAGAGAGGGCAAGCGUUGUCCGGAAUGACUGGGCGUAAAGCGCGCGCAGGCGGUUUUUUAAGUUGGAUGCGAAAUCCCCGGGCUCAACCUGGGAACUGCAUUCGAUACUGGAAACUAGAGGCCGAGAGAGGAAAGCGGAAUGACGAGUGUAGAGGUGAAAUUCGU
rnacentral:rRNA from 1 species